GAACAUAGAUACAGAGACACUUGUCAUCAGGAAGGUGCUCUCUCAGCACAACGGAAAAUAUCUCAAUGACUAGACAUGUUCUGGUUGUGAAUUCAGGCUACAAGGGGUCAGUGCUCUAAAAUGAGUCUCUCUGGAGAGAGAGAGGAGGGGGGCCCUGCCUCUAAAAUGAGUCUCUCUGGAGAUAGAGAGGAGGGAGGCCCUGCCUCUAAAUGGAGUGUCUCUGGGGAACAUGGCACCAAAUCUAAGAGCCCAAUCAAGCAGGAGAGACCAGCCUCCCCUGUAUCCAGCUGUGUGUCCAUGAAGAGUGACAAGUCUAUGGAGUUACCUAUAUACUUUAGCGAGGGAGACCUUUCUACUGAACAAAGUCCAACCAAGCAGGAGAGACCAGCUUCCCCUGUACCCAUGUACACACAGUCCAUGAAGAGUGACUGCUCUAUGAAACAUUCUAUUCGUUUUAGUGAGGGAGACUUUUUUACUGAACAAAGGUAAGAGUAACUCAUGGGUCAUGGUCAGUGAGUUAAACAACAC